rnacentral:rRNA from 1 species
UACGUAGGUGGCAAGCGUUGUUCGGAAUUAUUGGGCGUAAAGCGCACGUAGGCGGCUUGGCAAGUCGGAUGUGAAAUCCCUCGGCUCAACCAAGGAAGUGCAUCCGAAACUGCCGAGCUUGAGUACUUAAGAGGAUCGCGGAAUUCCCGGUGUAGAGGUGAAAUUCGUAGAUAUCGGGAGGAACACCAGUGGCGAAGGCGGCGAUCUGGGAAGAUACUGACGCUGAGGUGCGAAAGCGUGGGGAGCAAACAGG